CCUACGGGAGGCAGCAGUAGGGAAUCUUCCGCAAUGGACGAAAGUCUGACGGAGCAACGCCGCGUGAGUGAAGAAGGAUUUCGGUUCGUAAAACUCUGUUGUUAGGGAAGAAAAAAUGUAUAGUAACUAUAUACAAAAGAGACGGUACCUGACCAGAAAGCCACGGCUAACUACGUGCCAGCAGCCGCGGUAAU
rnacentral:rRNA from 1 species